rnacentral:lncRNA from 1 species
AGCUGUUGGCCAGCAGGAAACAAACGUCAGCUUCGUCAGCCAAAGGCCCUGCUAUAGUGCCACCAGAGCUGCUGAAGUCAUCUGCUUGGCCUUAGGGGGCCAUAAACUAAAAUAAAGUUUUCAUUAACCUGCAAGAAAAAAGAAAAACCUCAAUAGCACCCUAAUUUUGUUCCAAGUUUGGAUCACAGUGUUCCUCCCUCGAGGACCUAGUUAAGAAGACUGCGGCAUAAAAAGUGAUGAAAGAUGUAAAACCAACCAAAGACGUAAAUACACCAAAGGGGAAAUGCAGAGGAAGGUUUACCACAGAUGCUGAUGGCCCAGUAGACAUGGAAGCCCCAAGAAUGGGAACCAGAAGCUUUAUCUUGAAGGCCAGGAGGGCUUGCAUCUUCCUAGGAUAGCACCGAAAAGAAGGAAAAGGAAAAGCAAUUUCCUCUCCUUAUUAGCGUUUCCUAACCUCUCACAUGUGUAGCCAUCACUUCAGGUGCACCGAGGACUGAGGACUCCAGGCACGGCUCUUUAAAUGAGCCCAGCAGUGCCAGUGCACACCGAGGACUGUAAAUAUUAAAUAACAAGAAAACAAUUAAGUUUCUGGGACUUCUCAGUGGGUGCUUAUUCCUGGCAGUCAUUAUUGGCAUCUGAAGUCCUGGGUUGAGGAAUUAGAAUCAACAGUCCUUUUUCCAUUUCAAUUUUUGUAACACAGUAGGAAUAUUUUUUGUUCUGUUUGCUUUGAACUAUAGGCAAAAUCCCACAAGUAUGCAUUUGAGAUGCUAGCCAAGGUGCCCACUCUCACAUUUCCUCAUAGGAGGCACUUGGUGAGGUUCUGGAAUUGAUAAAGCUUUCCAGUCUGGCACCAUUUGACCUCUGGACCAUAGAUCUAUCCUGUCUCAUAAAAGCUUGAGCUGUGAGGGGACAGGAUGAAGAACCCAGGUCAGGAUAAGCCAUUUCAGAAGGAUGCACAAAGCUGCCUAGACCAUAACUGCUGCCUCUCUUAAUUAAUGUUCUCCCAGUGGUCCGUGAGUGCAAAUGACUCCAGAUAUUGAUGGUUCAACAGAAUAAAUCAGAAAAGCUUCCUACUAUCCCUGUUAUUAUAAGGAUAUGACUUUUGAACUAACAAAGCACAUCAUUUUCAUUUUCUCUCCUCAUGAAA